CAGUAGCCACGGUAAUACGAAGGUCCCGAGCGUUGUUCGGAAUCACUGGGCGUAAAGGGAGCGUAGGCGGCGUGGUAAGUCAGAUGUGAAAUCCCGGGGCUCAACCCCGGAACUGCAUCCGAUACUGCCAUGCUAGAGGAUUGGAGAGGUAGCUGGAAUUCUUGGUGUAGCAGUGAAAUGCGUGGAGAUCAAGAGGAACACUCGUGGCGAAAGCGAGCUACUGGACAAUAACUGACGCUGAGGCUCGAAGGCCAGGGGAGCAAACAGGAUUAGAUACCCCUGUAGUCCCUGUCUCUUAUAA
rnacentral:rRNA from 1 species